CUCUUCUUUCUGCUUUUCUUGCCGAUCGAAAAGAUGCUUUUCUGCUUUUCUGUUGAAGAUCGUAUGAUUCAAUGCUACCAAUCUUCAUCUUCGACUCACAGAAACAGACGUUUCAUCUAAACCUCCUCUUCCGACUCACAACAACAGCUCCGGAGAUUCCCAGCAACAAACGUUUCAUCUUCUGAACCUCCUCUUCGUUCUCUGAGAAUGGAAUUCUUAACCUCCGGUGGAUUAGGGUUUCAUCUCCUGCAACAAUUUUAUAGAAUGGCGAUUUGAUGAAUGGUCGAAUAGAAGUCAGACAUUUCAUCUUCUGCAACAGACGCGGGUUGUAAUUGGGCAAAUCUUUGUUGCACCUCCUCUUUCGACAAUUCAUAACAACUGUCCAGCCUUCGAUUGGACUCGAUUUUAUAAGGAAACAAAGAUCGAUUAAUCUUCGCGCGGAAUUCUUGAGCAGCAUUUCAUAUCCUAAAGAAACUCAACAAAACAGCUGGUCGUGAGGUUCAAAUCUCUCUUGAUUGCGUUAGAGACAAAAACCUUAUGCAGCUAAAGAAACUCAACAUUGCUCUUUUUCCUGUUCGCUAUAAUGAUACAUACAUACCCACUCUAGAUUAAGGAGUUGUUGAAGACGUGUUUUCCUCGCGCUACCUAAGUUCUUUUUCAUUUGAGAUUGGAGUUUCCUUUAAUCCAGUGGCAACAAAUGGAUAUUGAAUAUACUUUUUGGCAAAUGCUUCACUUGUGCACCUCACCAAAAGUUGUAUGAUUUUAGCGAGGAUUGUCUAACUGGAAAAGGGAUUUGAGUUUCUUGGUGCACUGGGAAGUCAUAUCAGGUUGAUAGUUCUAUAAGAAUAGUAAUCAACAGAUUUUAGCGAGGCACCUUUUCCUCUGUUUGGUGUAGAAUUUUGUUUCAAUGGUGGCUGUAUCUAUUUUGAGUCUCCUUGGCGUAGUUUCGACAGAACCACUUACAUGGAAAUUGAUCAAGGUCUGGUUGCCUGUUAACGUUAUAUUUGUGGGCAUGCUAAUCACUAGCAUGUUUAGAUGAUUCUGAUUUUCUUUUUCUGCUGUCUGAAGUAUAUAAAUGUAGCCAUGGUCACGGUCUUGAAGAACAUUACUUAUGUAAUUACUGCUGUGGGUGAGAUGUACCUUUUCAAUAAGCAUCACGAUAACAAAGUUUGGGCUGCUCUUUUCUUAAUGGUAAGAAUUUCUUUAAUCUCCCUAUUAGCUUUUCACUCGACUUCUCCUCCAGUACCUGCGAUUAUUGUGACUAAUUUAAAUUGUCUCGUGGAAUCAGUCACUCCGUUAAUUCCUGUUCAACAUUGUCCUGAGGUAUCAAAAGAUUUUGAUUUAUGGUUUAUGAAAUUUGUAAGGACUUUAAGCUAGAUAGAUAGAGAUCACAAUUAGAAUAUAAUAUAUAGAAUUCUUUUGUUUCAACUGUAAUUUGCUUAUCCAAAUUGUUCAAAGAUUCAGCUCCUUACUCAUAAGCUUACAAUCCAUGAUAGCAUACAGAUGUUGUAGAAGCAAAUUUAAUAGAAAGGGAAUCCGUUGCAGAAGAAAGCAAUCCAGUUGAAGAACCAUAUGUAGGUAUGGAAUUUGACACAUAGGGUUUGUAGUGCGUAUGGACCAAUGUCCAAUGUCGUCGUUCUGAGGUUGACAAAAGAGUAAUUUCAAAAAGGCUUUCAUGCAAUCCAGGAAACUGAGGAAAAGCACAAGGGAAGGUUGCAAUGCAAUGAUGAUGGUCAAGAUUAAUAAAUCUGGGAAAUGGUCAAGUUAUUACAUCCUCUAAUUGCUUCUGACCACCCUUCUUUUGUUUCUAUGGUGAGUUAUUACAUCUAUAUGGUCAAGUUUUUUUUUCUUUUGUAGAAUUUGGUUAGAUUUUGUUGGCUGUUCUUUUCACAGCAAUCUUCUAUAUUGAAUGCAAAUACUU